CCAGACUCCUACGGGAGGCAGCAGUGGGGGAUAUUGCACAAUGGGGGAAACCCUGAUGCAGCGACGCCGCGUGAGUGAAGAAGUAAUUCGUUACGUAAAGCUCUAUCAGCAGGGAAGAAAAUGACGGUACCUGACUAAGAAGCCCCGGCUAACUACGUGCCAGCAGCCGCGGUAAUACGUAGGGGGCAAGCGUUAUCCGGAUUUACUGGGUGUAAAGGGAGCGUAGACGGCAUGGCAAGUCUGAUGUGAAAACCCGGGGCUCAACCCCGGGACUGCAUUGGAAACUGUCAGGCUAGAGUGUUGGAGAGGCAAGUGGAAUUCCUAGUGUAGCGGUGAAAUGCGUAGAUAUUAGGAGGAACACCAGUGGCGAAGGCGGCUUGCUGGACGAUGACUGACGUUGAGGCUCGAAAGCGUGGGGAGCAAACAGGAUUAGAUACCCUUGUA
rnacentral:rRNA from 1 species